AAAAUAUCUGGGAUUCCUUGGUGGUCUGAGACACCCCAACUGUUAUUUGCUUCCUGUGACAUCUAAAUUUUGGAAGAGAUGCUCUCUGAAAGAAGAAGGUAAAGGAAAUAUCUCAUGAGUAGGGGAAGAUCCCAGAGAUGAGGUAGCUGUGUGGAGGCAAAUGCUAGGUUUUCUAGACUCCAUCAAUUAAAAUCCACCCAAAUGCCAAAACUUCAGUGCCCGUUGUAAGAAAUUAUUCUUUUAUAUCAUUGACUCAAAGUUUGCUGAGGAACAAGUCCAGGCAAGUCCUGGGCAAAGGUAGAGAAAUCUUUUGUCUUGAGGACACUGAUGGACAGGUCCUGGCUAAGGAUUGUGAAAUCCUCUAAGGAGCACAGAUGGACAAGGUCAGGGGCAAUGAGAGAGAGAUAAGC
ensembl:lncRNA